AGGGCGGGUCAGUGAUGCGAAGGGCGGGCAGCAGGGCAGCAGUGCAGCAGUGCAGCAGUGCGGUGAGGCGAGGGUGCGAGGCGGCUAAGCAAGGGAUGGGCCCGCCGUGGCGAGCCGCUGGGCCGUGUUCCGCCUCCUUUCGGGCUUUCCGCGGGUGUCUGGGGAGGGAACCCGGCCGCGGGCCUCAGGCCGUCCCCCUCCGCAGACCCCUUCUCUUAUUCUGAGUCUAACCUAUCCGCUGGGGCCCUGGAAAGCGAUUCUCGCCUGGAGUGGCUUUAGGCAGCGGUGGUGGGGAACGUCCUCUCUCAGGUGCCUGGGCUCCAACCUCCGAGCCCCGGGUUGCUCACGCUUCUCCGGUCCUCUACCCGAAGGCUCGAUCCCGCUGGUACAGCGGCGGCCAGGCUCCCUGUCUUGGUAGCUGUCCCUCUACCCCCGCCCCAUGACCUCUUCUAGACCAUUGAAAGAGCAUCCAAACCACUUUCCUGCUGCCACUCUUUCCUACCAUCCCUCUAAAUCACAGUUUCCAGGUGACUUUUCUAAGCAUGGCUUUUCUCGUUCACUCCUGUUCAAAAAUCUUCUCACCAAUUUUGUCACCAUUUACUCAGCUGAGUGCCUGCUUUCUGUCAAGUAUUUUACCAAUAAAUCUCUACUCCACACCACCGACAAGAAAUAUUUUGGAGCCAUUUAAAAAGGAGGAAACGGAAGCUUCUGCCGCUGCCUGAUCCUCCAUUGCUCCGAGCCGCGCGGGUGCAGCGGGCUGUGGAGCCGCGGGCCGAGCCCCGCCGGAGCGCCCGAGAGCCCGCGCGUCCCGGGCGUCCGUCGGGGUCCGAGGUCCCUCCCUCAGGGAGUCCCCGCUCGGCAGCGCUCUCGCGUUUCACGCAGCGGCCGGGGAUCUGGGACAGGCGGGGCCCCGAGGCCGAGCCUGGCGCUGCCCAGCGGCCGGUGCAGGCCUCAAGCUGGGCCGGGCGGAGGGGAACCGGCGAGUUGAAGCCCCGGGGCCGAAAGCCGGAGCCUGUGGCGGCCGCGGGGGUGGGGAGGGGGGUGGGGCGGCUUCUUGGGCAGCGCCACACGGCGGCGCAGUGAUGGAUGUUAACAGCAGCGGCCACCCGGACCUCUACGGGCGCCUCUGCUCUUUCCUCCUGCCGGAGGUGGGGGGCAGGCUGCCCGACCUGAGCCCCGACGGUGGCGCCGAACCGGUCGCGGUCUCCGGGACGCCGCAUCUGCUGAGCGGGGGCCCCCGAGGUGACGGCCAGCCCGGCGCCCACCUGGGACGCAACCCCGGGCAAUGCCUCCGGCCGCGGGGAGCAAAUCAAGAAAGGGCCGAGAAAGUUGUGAUCGGCUCUGUCCUGACGCUCAUCUCUCUGCGAUCGCGGGCAACUGCCUGGUGGUAUCUCCGUGUGCUUCGUCAAGAAGCUCCGCCAGCCCUCCAACUACCUGAUCGUGUCCAUGGCGCUGGCCAACCUCUCGGUGGCCAUGGCGGUCAUGCCCUUCAUCAGUGUCACCGACCUCAUCGGGGGCAAGUGGAUCUUUGGACACUUUUUCUGUAACGUCUUCUCCAUGAAUGUCAUGUGCUGCACGGCCUGGAUCUUGACCUUGUACGUGAUCAGCAUCGACAGGUACCUUGGGAUCAUGAAGCCUCUCACGUACCCUAUGAGGCAGAAGGGGAAAUGCAUGACGAAGAUGAUUCUUUCUGUCUGCCUUCUUUCCGCCUUUGUCACUUUACCUACCAUUUUUGGUCGGGCUCAGAAUGUAAACGAUGAUAAGGUGUGCUUGGUCAGUCAAGACUUUGGCUACACGAUUUACUCCACCGCAGUGGCAUCCUAAUCCCCAUGUGCGUCAUGCUUUUCAUGUACUAACAGAUUUACAAGGCCGCCAGGAAAAGCGCGGCCUAACACAGGUUACCUGGCUUCCCUCGAGUGGAGCCAGACAGCAGUAGUCACCCUGAAUGGCACAGUGAAGUUCCAGGAGGUGGAAGAGUGUGCAAACCUUUCGAGACUCCUCAAGCAUGAAAGGAAAAAAUAUCUCCAUCUUUAAGCGGAAACAGAAAGCAGCGACUACCUUGGGGAUCAUCGUCUGGGCCUCCACCAUGUGCUGGCCGCCCUUUUUCCUCCUGACAGCCAGACCCUUCUGUCUAUGGCACUGCCUGCAGCUGCAUCCCACUGUGGGUGGAGAGGAUAUUUCCAUGGCUGGGCUAUGCAAACUCUCUCAUUAACCCUUUUAUUUAUGCCUUCUUCAACUGGGACCUGAGGACCACCUAUUGCAGCCGGCUCCAGUGCCAGUACCAGAAUAUCAACCAGACACUCUCAGCUGCAGGCAUGCAUGAAGCCCUGAAGCUUGCUGAGAGGCCAGAGAGACCUGAGUUUGUCCUACAAAACUCUGACUACUGUAGAAAAAAAAGUCAUGAUUCAUGACUGAAAGAGGGAUAAUGGAGAUGAAAUAAACAAGGCAAAAUAGAGGUGGAAACAGAAGAAAGUCAUUUGCCAAGACUGCAGAAUGGAAUGCAGCUUCUGUCCUUUCUUAGGAUGGCUAAAACGUGACAAACAGCAUGACCUGAUGUACAACAUAUCUUAUGAGGGAGAUGGUGACCUCUCCUUUUUUCUGUGGAUCAGUGUUAUUGUGUGUUCUCAGUUUAAGAUAGCAGAUCAUCUCAGCAGUAAGCACACUGACAGAAUUGAGUUCCAGAAAGGAAGCAGUUUCAGGUUCUUAGCACAUGUCCAAAUCCAUGCAAGUGGGAGAAAGUUCCAAUGCACACUUUCCAUGCUUCCGAGUCUAGGUCUCGUGGUGAAUAUUCAGCAAUCAUUCAUGAGAAAGAAUGUAUUUUGUUGUAUGACAGAAGGGUUUACCAAGCAAACUGUGGUAAGCAUAGUAUCGAAUAUGUUGCAUGUCCAUUUUAGAAAACAGAGCCCAGUCAUCAGCUAAUACAAAUGAUUUCCCAGAGCAGUGUUUGUUUCAAGCUUCUGUCAAAUAGUUUGGCUUUUCUGCAGGGUCCCUGUAACUUCCCCACAAAUGUACUUCUUUGUUAAUUCACUUAUUGUUAUGGUGUGGCUCAGGAACAGGUCUCAGGAUGGAGAGCAGCAUACAACCUGAACAAAGCUUUUUCUUGUGCUCUGAAGGGUCCUGAGACGUGAGGGGGAUGCCUUCCAUGAGGAUUUUUAUCUCAGUGAAGUGCGAGUGGUACCCACCUGUAUUGUCAUUAACAUGAUUAUUGGCAUGUUUUUGACUCUCAUUUUUCACAAGGGUGCAGUGGGGCCAUGGACCAUCCCAUGGGAUGGUCCAUAACUGUAUGUUAUAUGGAAAUAGUGUGGGAAUAAUGGGUUUUCCAUGAAAGGUUGUGAUGCUUCUGGAGAUGGGGGCAUAAACGUGUUCAUUCUUGUUGAGCAGCAUUGUGUUAAACCAAAUUGUGUGAAGUGGAGGUCACCUGGACCACUCCUGGGAAAUGCUCCAGAACACCAGUCUGUUCCUUCUAGAAAUUUGUUCUCUGUAUUUAUUUUUAUUUUUUAUUUUGAGGCAGUGUCUCACCCAUCCUGUCUCCCAGGCUGGAGUGCAGUGGUGCGAUCUCGGCUCACUGCAACCUCUGCCUCCUGGGUUUAAGCAAUUCUCCUGCCUCUGCCUCCCAAGUAGCUGAGAUUACAGGCACCUGCCACCACACCUGGCUAAUUUUCGUAUUUUUAGUAGAGAAGGAGUUUCACCAUGUUGGCCAGGCUGGUCUCAAACUCCUGAUCUCAGUUGAUCCACCUGCCUUGGACUCCCAAAGUGCUGAGAUUACAGGUGUGAGCCACUGUGCCCAGCCUGUUCUCUGUAUCUUAAAUCAACUCUGUGCCAAAGCAGUUCUGUCCCCUGACUCCCACCCCUACCCACCAAAAAGUGGUAGACAUGAAGGGCAGGUAAGGGAACAGAAAAUGUCUCCUUGCAGCUAUAUAUAUUUUAAACGAACUGUGUAAUAAGUAUGAGCUAAGGAGACAGAAAGACAGUAGAUGAGAAAAGAAGAGUACCUAUACCUACAAGGGGCAAAAUGAAUGCAAUCCUUCAUUUGAUAAGAGAGAACUGAAAGAGAAUAUUAUUUUUCUACAAUAAAGCAAGCUGUCCUCUCAGGAUAAAGUGGAAUUUCGACAUGGAUUAUGGACUUCUUCCAACUCCCAUUGACAUUGCUUCUUACCACACAUGGGGAAGGGCUGCCUUUCCUGAAAGGGGAAGAAGGCACUGUCCUUUCAGACAAAGUUUGUACAAAUUCCUGAACUGCAGAUUUGCUAAUGUGACCGCGUAUACUUAUAUUCAUAAUUUAAGUGAUUGUUUAUGGUCAGAUACAUAUUGUUAAACUUGAAAAUGUUUUAUUACAUUACAUCAAAUAAAGUCUAUUUGUAGCUGAAAAAACUAAAAAUAAUAAAAAGGAGGAAACUGAGGCUUAAAACAA
rnacentral:lncRNA from 1 species